AAAAACUUUCUGCCUUGGGCUAUAUGCCCAUAUUAUUUAUCAGCCAGAGGCACAAGGGCACAGGCAAGUUGAUGGCAGAUGUAGUCACGCAUCUGCCACCGACGCAAAACAACACACGUUUCUUAACCAGCAUGAAGAGGGCAUAUGACUUCAUAAUCAAACUGGAUGAUGUGCCCCAGCCCCAGCCCCAGCAAGACCAGCCCCUGCCCCUAGACCGGCUAAUCCCACAAGACCAGCCCCUAGACCAGCCCCUGCCCCUAGACCAGCCCCAGCAAGACCAGCCCCUGCCCCUAGACCAGCUAAUCCCACAAGACCAGCCUACCCCAACAGACCAGCAAAUUAUUACACUUGAACUAUUUACGAUCGACUCUCAGGCUCAGCAGCAUGUGGAGCCUCUACCACCCAGGAAAAGACAAACCCCACUAUCCACCCCGCGCCUACCAUCCACCCCAGGCCAAGGCAGACGAGCCCCACCAUCCAUCCAACCUCAACUAAAGAAAAGACAAAGUUGCAAAUGCAGUCGACAGACAAUUUAUCCAUACGAUAAAAUAUUGGGAAGACGGAUGAAUGGGGGGAAGGCAGCAGAGGUCAAAGUGCACUGGCUACCUUGCUCUUCCUGUGGCAGAGUCUGGGAGGACACCUGGGAGCCGGCCAGCAAAUUCGCCUGAUGACCAAUACUGUUGUACUAUUUGUUUUGUAUAUAUUUGUCAAUAAUUAAAUUCACUAUUGUUACAUUUUA
ensembl:lncRNA